rnacentral:lncRNA from 1 species
AGUUUGUCGACCGUUACUCAAUCCGCAUUGGCUAUCUUCUCAUCUUCAGAUACGAAGGCAACUCUGCCUUCAGCGUCUACAUUUACAACUUAUCACACUCCGAGAUCAACUACCAUUCCUCCGCUCUCAUGGACACCGCACACACCCACCUCAAACGCGCACGUUUGUUUGAAGACCUCGAAGAUGAAGACGCCGCCGAGGUUGUUUAUCCUUCUUCUUCUGUGUAUCCGUCAUCACAACAGCAUCCUGAAGUUACUGUGGCCGCUAUUAAAGGGUACGCUAGUCCAGCUAUCCAGAGCUUCUUCGCUGGACCACCUGUUAAAGCUGAAGAGGCGACACCAACUCCUAAAGUUACUAAGAAGAGAGGGAGGAAGAAGAAGAACGCUGUUCCUGGUAAAGCCUUUUUCCUCUCUUUUUAAACUCUUGUUUCAUACUUGGAUUGAUGUGAUGAUUGGUGUGAUCCAUCCAGAGGAAGUAAACUCAUCUGCUCCGAGGGAUGAUGACCCGGAGAGCCGUUCAAAGUUCUACGAGAGUGCUUCUGCGAGAAAGAGAACGGUGACUGCAGAAGAGAGAGAGAGAGCCAUCAAUGCAGCUAAAACGUUCGAGCCAACAAACCCUUUCUUCAGAGUUGUUCUCCGACCAUCUUAUCUAUACAGAGGCUGCAUCAUGGUAAAGCCAAAAACAUCUCAAAGUCAGCUCAUUAUGACGUCUUUUAAAAAGCUCUCUUUUUGUUGUUGUGUGUUUCCUUUGAACAGUAUCUGCCUUCUGGAUUUGCUGAGAAGUACUUAAGUGGGAUCUCGGGAUUCAUCAAGGUCCAGCUCGGGGAGAAACAGUGGCCAGUGAGAUGCCUCUACAAAGCAGGGAGAGCCAAGUUCAGCCAAGGAUGGUACGAGUUCACUCUGGAGAACAACCUAGGAGAAGGUGACGUCUGCGUGUUCGAGCUCCUCAGAACCAGAGACUUCGUCCUGAAAGUAACGGCCUAUCGAUCCUCUUGUGAGUGAAACUCCAAAGAAGUGAAAAGUAAUUUGACUCUUUUUUAUAAGGUCUCUUUGCUUUGUUUAGAGUAAUAAGAAGUAAUUGACUUUUUUUUUCUUAAUAAGGUCUCUUUGUAUGUCUAUGUUACAAGACUCAUUGCUCGUUUUCGUAAGUUAAAAAGUGUUUUUGUGUGUGUAGAAGAAUAAACAUACAUUUAUGUUACAGUCCAUGAAAGUUUGUGGAUUAACAUGAACACAUAUUGAAAUACUAGUUGGUUCUCAGCUUACCAUAUAAAUAAGAUCAUAGGAGUGAUGACAUAAGCAGUCUAUUCAAAGAUAAAAAAUAUACAAUGUUCCAGGAAUAGUAAUGGACUGUGUCACACAGCCUUGGAAAUUGAAACAGUACAAUUUGGAUUGUGAUUUUAAUUUAGGCAAAAGCAGGCUGCUCUCCAGCAAUAUAUCUUUGCCAUUUAGCAUUAUAUAUCUUGUAAAUCUUUUUUUUUUUAAAUUCCUGGUAUGGUUUGUGCAGAGAGUUCCAGAUAAGUUUGUGAGUAAAUUCAAGGACGAGCUAUCCGUCGCAGUUGCACUCACAGUACCUGACGGUCACGUCUGGCGUGUAGGACUAAGAAAAUCCGACAACAACAAAAUCUACUUUCAAGAUGGUUGGCAAGAGUUUGUCGACCGUUACUCAAUCCGCAUUGGCUAUCUUCUCAUCUUCAGAUACGAAGGCAACUCUGCCUUCAGCGUCUACAUUUACAACUUAUCACACUCCGAGAUCAACUACCAUUCCUCCGCUCUCAUGGACACCGCACACACCCACCUCAAACGCGCACGUUUGUUUGAAGACCUCGAAGAUGAAGACGCCGCCGAGGUUGUUUAUCCUUCUUCUUCUGUGUAUCCGUCAUCACAACAGCAUCCUGAAGUUACUGUGGCCGCUAUUAAAGGGUACGCUAGUCCAGCUAUCCAGAGCUUCUUCGCUGGACC